GGAAGCCCUUGCCCCGGACCCCCUGCCCAAACGUGGGUCCUGGUUUGCAGGCCUCCUGCUGCAGGACAGCAGUUCCUAAGAGCCUGUGGGCCUCCUGCAGGGACAGGACUGGAGCUGUGGGUGUGGCAGGAGGCAGAGCUCCCAGGCAGGACCAGCCUGGAGGGGUUGGAGGGACAGGAACCAGCGCCCCCUGCCCUGCCCAUCUCCCUGAACAUGUCGGGGGAAGGAGCCCCAGGCUCUGCCACACAGCCUGUCAUGGGGAGGGGCUGGCAGCUCUGCCCCAGGCUCUGGCAAUGAGGACCCUGCCAGCCACUGUCUGAAGCCAGGUCAGGCCAAGCCAGCUGCCAGCUGUGAGGUUCCAGGGCUCAGCUGCCUGCGGGGAGGGGCGGUGCUGAACUGGGGAGUUGGAGGGAACGGUGAGGGGCAGGGGAAGAAGAAAUCCCCCGAGUCCCACAGUGGGAGGCUGUAAGAUCUCCCUCUCCAUGUCUUAGUCUCUGUAAACCUUUUACCCUCCAGGGUGUGGGGAGCAACCUUCAACUGUAAAGGGGUCCCUGGGCCCCGCCCUCCCCGAGGCUGUGGCUGCCUCCAGGGUGGGGGUUUCUGGCACUUUAGGGGCCUCCAUUGACCGCCUCCCACUGCCCUUUCUUUACACCGCAUUGCCCGACACCCAGGCCUUCACCUUGGGUGUGAGGCGGGUGGCACACAGCGGGGCACGGUGCCCACGGGGCAGCCGGGAGCUGACUCAGCAUCUUUACCUUCCCGCUCACGUGACGCCUCCUCCUGCCGCCGCUCGAGACGCUUUACAAACCUUGCGCCAUUCCUCCAUCAGCGCAAUCCUUAUCGACGGUCAGCACUCCCACUUCACAGGUGAAGAGGUGGAGGUGCGGGGAGAUCUGGCAGCUGCCCGGACCCACACAAACCAAGCUCGCAGUGGGAUGCCAGGAAGUGUGAUUAAGCAAAAGCCUGGUCUCCAGGAUGGGGCCAGCUCGUCCGAGCCGCAGGGAUGGACACAUCAUGCUCUCUUCAACUCAACCAGUGGGAGGAUCUGAGAGACCAGGGAAGAGGGGCGUGUCCCAGCCGGGAACUGCACUCACCUGGGCACCUUCCUGCCCGAGACCAGGGAAGAGGGGCGUGUCCGAGCCGGGAACUGCACUCACCUGGGCACCUUCCUGCGUGAGACCAGGGAAGAGGGCCGUGUCCGAGCCAGAAUUGGACUCACCUGGGCACCUUCCUGCCCGAGACCAGGGAAGAGGGGCGUGUCCGACCCGGGAACUGGACUCACCCGGGCACCUUCCUGCCCGAGACCAGGGAAGAGGGGCGUGUCCGACCCGGGAACUGCACUCACCUGGGCACCUUCCUGCACGAGACCAGGGAAGAGGGGCGUGUCCGACCCGGGAACUGGACUCACCCGGGCACCUUCCUGCCCGAGACCAGGGAAGAGGGGCGUGUCCGACCCGGGAACUGCACUCACCUGGGCACCUUCCUGCACGAGACCAGGGAAGACGGGCGUGUCUGAGCUGGGAACUGCACUCACCUGGGCACCUUCCUGCCCUCCUCCUGACGCCCUCAGAAUGAGGUUCUCCCUGUCCCCAUCCCCACCCUCCCGUGAGGUGGGGGCCGAUCCUCUCCACUUGUCUGAGGAGCAUGAGGUUCUAUCUCACUUGGGCAACUACAACAAAGUACCUACGGCUCGGGGGCUUAAACAACAGAAAUUUAUUUCUCACAGUUCUGGAAGCCAGAGGUCAAGAUCCAGGUGCGGGCAGACUCGGUUCCUGUGAGCGCCGGCUUCCUGGCUUGCUGACGACGCCUUCCCAUGUCCCCACGUGGCACGAAGCAGAGAACAGGACCCAGCACUCGUGUCUCUUCCCCUGAGGGUGCUGGUCCUGUUCCGAGGGCUCCACCCACCUGACCCAGCCGCCCCCAAAGGCCCCCUCUCCUAAUACCAUCGCACUGGAGGGAGGGUUUCAGCAUGUGGAUUCUGGGGGCACAUCCAGUCCACGCAGCCCUGAGUGGUUGCCUGGCCUGCUGAAAGCCACUCAGCUCGGGCAGGGCCACGGUGGCUGCCUGCAGGCCAUGCCCUGCAGCCCACACCAGCGCCACCCUCUACAGGGGCUGAGGCAGAGCCUGCUGGGUGCCGAGGGUGGUGCCCUGGUGUUUGCUGGUGAGGUGGGGCAGCAGGCCGCCUGCAGAGCCUCAGGACUGGCCAGACUCCAGCUUUGUGCAGCCCCUGGUGUGCUGCUUGGAGAACGCAGCCUUUCUGAACCAUCCACCUGGUGUGGCGCUAAGUGACUUUGUUCCGGAUGCGGGGUGGGGAGGGCUGUGACAGCCCAUGGGCCUUGCCAAGGCUGGGCGGCCCUGCCCAAAGCCUACUGGACAACUGGCCAAGCAAGGCCCUGGUGAGCCUGGGCCGUCGGUGGGCGGGCAGUCAGGGCACAGAUGCCAGCAGCCUGCGUGGGCAGGACGUCUGGCCGCUCCGCCGGCCCUGAGCUCCAGCUACCCAUGUCCUCUUGGGGUCUCUCCGGCAGCCCUGAACCACACAAGCCCCAGGCCAGUGACUGAGGCCACAUCUGGCUGGAGGCUCCAGCGACGUCCAGCCUCAGGUCAAAGUGGCCAUCUGUCAUCUGACAGGUUGACACGCACCUUCCUUGGGCCGAGUGUCUGUGCCCGCCCCCCUGCCCCGCACUCAGUGUGCAGUAGGGCAGCGGUUCUAGGCAAAGCAGUUUCCUGUCGGGAUGAGGACCAGCUCCAGAGAAGGUGAGGAGGGGUCCCCGUGUCAGGGCCUCCCUGAGAAGACGCAGUGUCUGCCAUCCUGGUGGGUAGAGGGGACAGCACACGCAAGUGCUCAGGGAAGUGGGGGUGGCCGUGUGCCCAGGCAGGGAGGACGGGGGCAGAGGGGCCGGUGGUCCUGGAGCAUGUGGCAGGGCCAGGUCUCAGUGAGGAGGCCUCGAGGAGGAAAGUGUGUGGGUAGUGUCGAGGUGCCAGGGAGUCUGGGUGUGUGGAUCCACGGUGGGGCCCGGGUCUCUCCCACGAGUGAGCGCGGGGCCUGCGUUCCUCACGAUGGAUCUGCCACAGCACGGGGACGACGGCCACAGCUUCUCCAUGUGGCUGAAGGCGUAGGAGGGGGCGCGUGGGAGGCCACUUGUGACACCUGUGGACCGGAGAUGACAACAUGCGGGGUUUGGGGAUGUCGAGCUCCCUGAGGUCCCGGAGCUACAGGUUGAUUUCUGCCCUUUCUGGAUGCCUCCAGAGCCACCGUCGCUCCCCAGCCUGUUCCUGCCGUCACAGGGUCUCUCUUACCGAAGCUGGAGUGCAGUGGUGCCAUCAUGCCAUCACUGCAGCCGGGACCUCCUGGAUUAAAGUGAUCCUCCCACCUCAGCCUCCUGGGCAGCUAGGAUCACAGGCAGGCCACCCAGCCCAGAUGAUUUUCGCAGUUUUGUAGAGACAGGGUUUCUGUGUUGCCCAGGCUGGUCUCGAACUCUUGGACUCAAGCAGUCUGCCCACCUCAGCCUCCCAAAGCUCUGGACUUACAGGCAUAAGCCGCCUGGCCUGGCCUCGGUUUUUCACUUUUGGUCCCACCAUUCCAGUGCCGAGCCUGUGAGACUGGAGUCAUGACCCAGCAGGACUGCACCUGCACCUGACGGGGAGCAGAGGUGGGCUCUGGAGGGCUACUCUGUGACCUGUACUGUAUAGGCAAGGUUACCCUAUGGGUUCUCCCUGGCAGUGACCCAGAUGUGCUUCAGUUUGUCCUCUAACAACCAUCGACUCUGGGCCCCUCUCUGCGCCAGGCUUCAGGGAGGACAGUGGGAGAAGCCCCAGGGGACCCGGGCAGCAGGCGGCCACAGUCCCUGUGGUUCGCUUUCUGCCGGUGGAGGAGACCAAAAGAGGACUCUGGGGACAGAUGAACUGGCCUCGAUCGGCAGGAGCAGCCAGUCCUGGCAGUGCAGCCUUCAUGUUCUCUGGUCGUUUGGUGCAGCCCAGUGACGUGGGAGGCUGGGGAGGCCUCGAGGUUACCUCCCUGGAGGAGAUCAGAGAACGGGCUGGGCUUGCAGGUUCCGGCGAGAGGACGGUGCUGGAGGUGCUGAAGGGACAGCGCCCGUGUGGAAUCCGCCGCCACCCUGGCCGCCUGGGUGAGGACCGACUGUCUCCCCCGCUGGAGCUGGGCGCCACGUACGUCUGAAUUCUGCUCAUCCUCUCUGGAGUCCUGUCGAUGCAGUCUUGGCAAAGAUUGCUUGAGCCUGAAUGCUUUUCCCAUCUAUUUUUAAAUAAAUGGAAUUCCUCAUGCUUGGAUGAAAUUUACCCCAACUGGGCAUUUUCACGACCCGCUUUGCCUGGGCGCAGAGGAGGGGACAGGGGGUACGCAUGCGGGUAACCAGAUUGCUGACAAUGUAGCCCGUGGGUGUGCAAGACACAAAAUUAAAAACAUAAAUGAUUAAUGAGCUAGCUCUUUGAAAGGACAUCCUAAACAAAGGAGGAAGCAAAGAUUUUCAAGCCUUGAUGCAGGAUUCGCUUUCCAGAACCUUCCAAGGUGUGGCAAAGCUGCUGGAGCCAAUGCCAUUUGUAGACAGGAGAACCACGAGCUGCAGGGUGCAAAGCUCCACCUGCAUCCGGAGCUGGCCCCUCCAGCCUGGCAUCCCCACAGGGGCCACACUCAGCCACCCCCAGGAGGCUCUGAAGCCAGCUGAUGGCUCCCCAAGACUUCAGCAGGGUGUUCCCCUUUUUUUCCUGAAAAAUAAGAUGAACAGGUUUGUCUCUCCCAAUGUCCUGGAACACCAGAGCACCUUAAUCCUUGCUCCCAUCUCAGCUCUGGUGCAUCUGCUACAACGGGAACUGGGGAUCACUUUUCCUUCAUCCUCUAUGGAUCAGCCCUAACCUUGGGUCCCACGUGGCUCUGACAUCAAACCUGAGAUGACUGCUUCCCCAGGAGGGGCUGUGCACAGCCCGGGCACUGCCGAGGGACACCGGAUAGUCUGAGGCUUCCCCCAACAGGAUGAGGGGCCCCAGCCCUGCCGGGUUUACAUUUUGAGCUACGGCUGCUCCCUCGGGUCUUCUGGUGAGUGGGAAAGACCAGCGGCGCCAGCCAGCGUGUGAGGGGAGAUGCCGUGGUGCCCUCUUCCUUCUGCGCACUGAAGUCCUCUCUCUCCCUUGAACACACCAGGCUGGUGCCUCCUCCCUUAACAACGGAGAGAAACCGCAGCCGCCUGGGGCAAGCCCACUUCAUGCUGGUUAUCACAGCCAAUGUGUGGGCACAGAGGCAGGGAGGCGGGGGUCCGGAGCGUGCCCCCGAAUGUGCACUAGCUUGUGUAAGUUGCCGUCUAUCCCCAACAUCCUGGAUAAUGUACAGGUUAGCAUUCUGCCUGCACCGACCCUUCUGUUUACAGCCGAAACACAAAACAACAAAAACAGGCCCCGUGGCCACUAGCUCUGGAAACCAAAGGGCAAACACAACCCACGGGCUGACCCUGCGCCAGGGCUAGGGCUGUUUUAUGAGCAGGUCCCCUGUGAGGACAGCACCAGCGAUUCAGCAGAGGCCUUCUCUAGGUAGAAUCCAUGGUGCCAGGCAAACGCGCGAAUAGGCUGGAUGUAGUCAGAGACGCACUCAAAGAUCACACCCCUCCUGGGUGUGCAGAGGAGGGCCCGGCGGCGGGGCACCUUGGGGGGUGGGCAGCGCUGAGCCUCAGGGGUCCCUUGGUCUCCCAGUAGCAGCUCCAGAGGGACCCCUCCCAGGACGCAUGGCCCCCAGCAGUGGGGACGCCACCUCUGCCCACCUGCCCCCAAGGAAACACUGUCCCAUUUGUGUCCAGGAGGCACAGAUCUGCCUCCUUUGUCCUGAGGGGUGGCACUGGGCUUCCCGCUGGCCUCUCUGCUGCCCUGGGGCCACCCUCCAAUCCCUGCCCCUGCCACAGGCCCCUUCUGGAGUCUGCAGAGCGAAGUCUAGGCCCCGUGGGGGGUUCAAGGCCCUCUAGGAGUGACUCUCCCGUCCCAACUCAGAUGGCCCUUUCUCCUCUUCUUGCCUGCGGGCCACUGUGGCCACCCCCUUUCCCCUGGGCUGUUUUCCUUGCGGGACACCUCCAGCCUCCACAGACCCUCCCUGCACACACCCUGGGGUCUAGGGGGUCCUACUGCCUGGCAACCCUGACACCAAGAGCAUGAGGUCACCAUGGGCCGAGCCCCAACAGAGUCUUGGGGAGGGCCCGUACCCCUACCCCUUCCCGGAGGUGUCCACUUCCAGGGCCCAGCUGAGAGGACUCCAGUCCUGCUCAGGUGGCUCUGCACUGCUCUGGGACCCCAGGGAGUGACGGGGCCACCAGGCAGGUCCGCUUGGUUAGUACCGCCUGACUCAAAGGUGACUGCAGGGUCAGUGUGCACAUGGUCGGGGAACGGGCAGGCUCAGCCCAGGUCUG